rnacentral:tRNA from 1 species
AGGCCCGUGGUGAAAUGGUAUCACAUCGGUCUCCAAAACCGUUGUCGGGGGUUCGAUUCCCUCCGGGCCUGCCA